GACAGAGGUCCCGAGCGUUAGGCGGAAUCACUGGGCUUAAAGCGUGUGUAGGCGGAUCUGUAAGUACCUUGUGAAAUCCCACGGCUUAACCGGGGAACUGCUCGGUAUACUGCGGAUCUUGAGCCACCUAGGGGCAACCGGAACAAACGGUGGAGCGGUGAAAUGCGUAGAUAUCGGUUGGAACGCCAAUGGUGAAAACAGGUUGCUGGGGGUGUGCUGGCGCUGAGACACGAAAGCCAGGGGAGCAAACGGG
rnacentral:rRNA from 1 species